rnacentral:rRNA from 1 species
UAGAGUUUGAUCAUGGCUCAGAUUGAACGCUGGCGGCAGGCCUAACACAUGCAAGUCGAGCGGUAGAGAGAAGCUUGCUUCUCUUGAGAGCGGCGGACGGGUGAGUAAUGCCUAGGAAUCUGCCUGGUAGUGGGGGAUAACGUUCGGAAACGGACGCUAAUACCGCAUACGUCCUACGGGAGAAAGCAGGGGACCUUCGGGCCUUGCGCUAUCAGAUGAGCCUAGGUCGGAUUAGCUAGUUGGUGAGGUAAUGGCUCACCAAGGCGACGAUCCGUAACUGGUCUGAGAGGAUGAUCAGUCACACUGGAACUGAGACACGGUCCAGACUCCUACGGGAGGCAGCAGUGGGGAAUAUUGGACAAUGGGCGAAAGCCUGAUCCAGCCAUGCCGCGUGUGUGAAGAAGGUCUUCGGAUUGUAAAGCACUUUAAGUUGGGAGGAAGGGCAGUUACCUAAUACGUGAUUGUUUGACGUACCGACA